rnacentral:tRNA from 1 species
GCCUGAGUGGCUCUGUCAGUUGAGCGUCCGACUUCAGCUCAGGUCAUGAUCUCGCAAUUCGUGGGUUCGAGCCCCACAUUGGGUU